rnacentral:rRNA from 1 species
AGCGGCGAACGGGUGAGUAACACGUAGGUGAUCUGCCCAUCAGACGGGGACAACGAUUGGAAACGAUCGCUAAUACCGGAUAGGACGAAAGUUUAAAGGUGCUUCUGGCACCGCUGAUGGAUGAGCCUGCGGCGCAUUAGCUAGUUGGUAGGGUAAAGGCCUACCAAGGCGACGAUGCGUAGCCGACCUGAGAGGGUGAACGGCCACACUGGGACUGAGACACGGCCCAGACUCCUACGGGAGGCAGCAGUAGGGAAUCUUCGGCAAUGGGCGAAAGCCUGACCGAGCAACGCCGCGUGAAUGAUGAAGGCCUUCGGGUUGUAAAAUUCUGUUAUAAGGGAAGAACGACUUUAGUAGGAAAUGGCUAGAGUGUGACGGUACCUUAUGAGAAAGCCACGGCUAACUACGUGCCAGCAGCCGCGGUAAUACGUAGGUGGCGAGCGUUAUCCGGAAUUAUUGGGCGUAAAGAGCGCCCAGGUGGUUGAUUAAGUCUGAUGUGAAAGCCCACGGCUUAACCGUGGAGGGUCAUUGGAAACUGGUCGACUUGAGUGCAGAAGAGGGAAGUGGAAUUCCAUGUGUAGCGGUGAAAUGCGUAGAGAUAUGGAGGAACACCAGUGGCGAAGGCGGCUUCCUGGUCUGUAACUGACACUGAGGCGCGAAAGCGUGGGGAGCAAACAGGAUUAGAUACCCUGGUAGUCCACGCCGUAAACGAUGAGUGCUAAGUGU